UCAGCCUCCCAAGUAGCUGAGAUUACAGAUGUGAGGACAUGCAUCAGAUCCCAACCAGAACAUACAGCAAAGGUAUGGCCAGCCCCAUGGAGAUAUUUCCAACAAGAGAGCACCCGUCUAUCAGCCAGGCUUGAUCAGCGCCUUGGCAGCAAAAGCAGAUCAUAUGGAAGUGACCUGUGGUCUGUCCCUCACUGGCAGGCAUCAGAGGGGGCAUAGAGUUGACAUACAACUGGACUCCAAGGGUAAGGUGACAAAUGGGGCCGAGAAACUUUCCAGCAAGCCAAUUUUAUGUCAAUUUUUCCUCCAGCUAUAAGAGCAGACAAGCAUUUAAUGUGCAGAGAAAGAGAAAAGAAACAGGCAGACACAGAUUUCAUUCAUUCAUUCUCUAAUAAAUAUGCAUUGAACAAUA